rnacentral:tRNA from 1 species
GCGAACAUAGUAUAAAGGUAUUAUUUUAGUUUUCCAAACUAAUGAUAUGGGUUCGAUUCCCAUUGUUCGCU